rnacentral:rRNA from 1 species
GCGCGCCGAGUCGUCGCAGCACGCGGCACGAGUCCUCACGACGUUGUGGCACAUGCCGUAGGAGCUGCCGCAGCAGGUCCUCGUGAACCUCUCCUACGUGCCGCCGCCUCCGGUACUGCUCCUGGACCCUAGCACCACUAAAGCUCGUCCCGCCGCCCACAGAUUCUUUACUCUCCGCCCACCAGUCCGGGCCCCUCAACGUCCGAAUGGAGCGUCUCGGCCUUUAUACAGCACUCCCUCUAGGUCGGUCGCGGCCUGUUUGGUUCCCUAAAGGGGACCUAAGCCGCCCCAGGUUCACACUAGACUUUGAUGGUCGCCGACCCGAUGCUCCCAAGAACACCUAGCACAACCAGCAAGACCCCGUAAUCUCACCCGGUUGAUGGACUGCUGCCCGUUAUAGCUCCACAACAACCACAUCACUAACGAGCCGGCACUAGUACUC